AGUGAACGCUGGCGGUAGGCCUAACACAUGCAAGUCGAACGGCAGCACAGAGGAGCUUGCUCCUUGGGUGGCGAGUGGCGGACGGGUGAGGAAUACAUCGGAAUCUACUCUGUCGUGGGGGAUAACGUAGGGAAACUUACGCUAAUACCGCAUACGACCUACGGGUGAAAGCAGGGGAUCUUCGGACCUUGCGCGAUUGAAUGAGCCGAUGUCGGAUUAGCUAGUUGGCGGGGUAAAGGCCCACCAAGGCGACGAUCCGUAGCUGGUCUGAGAGGAUGAUCAGCCACACUGGAACUGAGACACGGUCCAGACUCCGACGGGAGGCAGCAGUGGGAAAUAUUGGACAAUGGGCGCAAGCCUGAUCCAGCCAUACCGCGUGGGUGAAGAAGGCCUUCGGGUUGUAAAGCCCUUUUGUUGGGAAAGAAAUCCAUCUGGUUAAUACCCGGGUGGGAUGACGGUACCCAAAGAAUAAGCACCGGCUAACUUCGUGCCAGCAGCCGCCGUAA
rnacentral:rRNA from 1 species